rnacentral:rRNA from 1 species
CCAAUAGCGUAUAUUAAGGUUGCUGCGGUUAAAAGGCUCGUAGUUGAAUUUCGGGAUUGAUGCAUCGGUCGUGCCUUAAGGGGUGUGAACUGGUGUAGCCAAUUUCUUACCUUCUGGUGAAUUGUGAUGUCCUCCUUAAUUGGGUGUUUCAAUGAACUAGGACUUUUUACUUUGAAAAAAUUAGAGUGUUUAAAGCAGGC